CGCUCGACACCUACGGGAGGCAGCAGUAGGGAAUCUUCCACAAUGGACGCAAGUCUGAUGGAGCAACGCCGCGUGAGUGAAGAAGGUUUUCGGAUCGUAAAGCUCUGUUGUUGGUGAAGAAGGAUAGAGGUAGUAACUGGCCUUUAUUUGACGGUAAUCAACCAGAAAGUCACGGCUAACUACGUGCCACAGCCGCGGUAAUCUGAGCGGGCUGGCAAGGC
rnacentral:rRNA from 1 species